rnacentral:rRNA from 1 species
UACGUAGGGUGCAAGCGUUAAUCGGGAUUACUGGGCGUAAAGCGUGCGCAGGCGGUUAUGUAAGACAGAUGUGAAAUGCCCGGGCUUAACCUGGGAACUGCAUUUGUGACUGCAUGGCUAGAGUUUGGCAGAGGGGGGUAGAAUUCCACGUGUAGCAGUGAAAUGCGUAGAUAUCAGGAGGAACACCGAUGGCGAAGGCAGGUCUCUGGGCUGACACUGACGCUCAUGCACGAAAGCGUGGGGAGCAAACAGG